GCCCCCGUAGCUCAGGCGGAUAGAGCACUGGUCUCCUAAACCGGAGGGGCAGGUUCGAGUCCUGCCGGGGGCA
rnacentral:tRNA from 1 species